rnacentral:lncRNA from 1 species
CAAGCUGAUUAAAUUCUUUUCCAUUUUCAUUUCAAAAUUUGAGUGUAUUUUUGCAUGUUUUCUUUCAGUCUGAGUUUUCAGAGUUGUACCUUAUUAAUCGCUGUCAAAAUUUGUAUAUUUUUCGUUUUUUAAGGUAUGUUCAUAAGUAGCAUGGGAUAUAAAGGAUUGAGGCAAACUUAAGGUUAGACUUCUAUGUCAGGCCAAGUGGAUUUAAGGAACUAAGUCCACCAAGGUGAAUGCAUUUUGCCUGUCUCCUGCCCCUCAGUGCAGGGAACAAGGCUAGAAAUACAAUAUGUGGAGUUCCUGUCAUGACUCAGAGGAAACGAAUCUGGGUAGUAACCAUGAGGAUGAAGGUUUGAUCCCUGGCCUUGCUCAGUGGGUUAAGGAUCCAACAUUGCCAUGAGCUAUGGUGUAGGCUGGCUGCUGCAGCUCUGAUUUGAACCCUAGCCUGAGAACCUCCAGAAGCCGUGGGUGUGGCCCUAAAAAGACCAAAAAAAAAGUGUUCCUUCAAUGUCAUCAUUCCCAGUAUAUGUUCGUAGGUAUAACUCAUGGAGCACUUACUGUGUACUAGGCAUUGUUCUAAAUAUUUUUCCAGCCAAUAUCUUGGUUGGUGGUGAUAUUUUCUGUAUUUCUGAAGAAAAGGAGGCUCAGAAAGAGAAAGAGAGCUAUGUGAACAAGUUCACCCAGUGUAUAAUGAGCAACAUAAGUACCAAACCCAGGGCUGUCCACACAGAUUCAGAGGGUGCGAGCGGAAAAGAAAUCCACAACCUAAUGAGACUGAGCAGUGAAGGAGAACAUCCUUCAGUGUUACGAUGCAUGUAUCCUUCAUGUAGUUGUGACGCAGAUGGUAUUAAGCCUCUGUGCUCUGGGUAAGUUUUGCUCCUUUUCAUCUGUAUGAAACAGUGAAAUAUCUUUAUGCUUUUGAAGUGAUAGCCUUGUAUAGUUGAAGAUCUAGUGACCUGUGGCUCACUAUCAAUUUCUGGAAUAAACAUAUACACACAAUUUCAAGUGUUGAAUCCUACAGAAGGUGUGUGAUAGAUAUCUUAGCUUUAAAAAUGCCCACCAGUAUGAAUGCUAUGGUAAAUACCGCUCAAAUGGUAUACUUUAGCGGUAGCUUUAGUGAUUCCCAAAGUGAGGGCUUUCCAUGGAGAUCAUUUUGGAGGUUUUCCCAUCUUUAUAAUGAGUCUUCUAUUAAAAAAUCUUGUUGAGAGAAUACCCCCAUUUGAGAGAAGAGGCCUAGACCACAUUAAUUGUACAGUCUUGUUUUACAGAAGAGGAAACUUGGUCCCAAAGAAAGUAAGAAACUUACUCUGCCCUCUGGAGCAGAACUGACGCUGGGAUCCAGUAUAUUCUUUUCUACCACAAGUACCCAUUUCAUCAUUUAAAAAAAAAUCUAAUUAUAGUUGAUUUACAAUAUUCUGUCAAUGUUUGCUGUACAGCAAAGUGACCCACUUAUACACAUAUAUACAUUCUUUUUCACACAUUAUCCUCCACCAUGCUCCAUCACAAGUGAUUAGAUAUAGUUCCCUGUGUUAUACAGCAGGAUCUCAUUGCUUAUCCACUCCAAAUGCAAUAGUUUGCAUCUUCUAACCCCAAACUCCUAGUCCAUCCCACUCCUUCCCCCUCCCCCUAAAAAACCACAAGUCUGUUCUCCAAGUCCAUGAGUUUGUCUCUUUUCUGUAGAUAGGUUCAUUUGUGUCAUAUUUAGGAUUCCAGGUGUAAGUGAUAUCAUAUGGUGUUUGUCUUUCUGACUUACUUCACUUAGUUUGAGAGUCUUUAGUUUCAACCCUGUUGCUGCAAAUGGCAUUAUUUUGUUCUUUUUUAUGGCUGAGUAGUAUUCCAUUGUGUAUAUGUACCUCAUCUUCUUAAUCCCUUCAUCUGUGGAUGGACAUUUAGGUUGUUUCCACCUCUUGGCUGUUGUCAGUAGUGCUGCAGUGAACAUAUGGGUCCAUGUAUCUUUCUCAAUGAUAAGUUUUGUCCAGUUAGAUGCCCAGGAGUAGGAUUGCUGGGUCAUAUGGUAGUUCUAUAUUUAGUUUUUUGAGGUACCUCCAUACUAUUUUCCAUUGUGGUUGUACUAAUUUACACUCCCACCAGAAGUGUCGAAGGUUCCUUUUUCUCCACAUCCUCUCCAGCAUUUAUUUGUUCAUUUAUUAAGGAUGGCUAUUCUGACUGGUGUGAGGUAGUAUCUCGUGGUAGUUUUGAUUUGCAUUUCUCUAAUAAUCAGUGAUGAUGAGCAUUUUUUCACGUGCUUUUGGCCAUCUGUAUGUAUUCUUUGGAGAAAUGUCUAUUCAGAUCUUCUGCCCAUUUUUAAGUUUGUUUUUACUGUUGAGUUGUAUGAAUUAUUUGUGUAUUUUGGAGAUUAAGACCUUGUCAGUUGCGUUGUUUGAAACUAUUUUCUCCCAUUCUGUAGGGUAUCUUUUUUUUUUUUUUUAAUGGUUUCCUUUGCUGUGCAAAAGCUUAUCAGUUUUAUGAUGUCCCAUUGGUUUAUUUUUGUUUUUAUUUCUAUUACUUUGGGAAACUGACCUAAGAAAACAUGUGUGGUUGAUGUCAGAGAAUGUUUGCCUAUGUUCUCUUCUAGGAGUUUGAAGGUGUCUUGUCUUAUAUUUAAGUCUUUAAGCCAUUCGAGUUUAUUUUUGUGCAUGGUGUGAGGGUGUGUUCUGGUUUCAUGGAUUUACAUGUCGCUGUCCAGUUUUCCCAGCACCACUUGCUGAAGAGACCGUCUUUUUCCCAUCUUAUAUUCUUGACUACUUUGUCAAAGAUUAAUUGACCAUAGGUGUCUGGGUUUAUUUCUGGGUUCUCUGUUCCAUUGGUCGGCAUGUGUCUUUUGGUACCAGUACCACACCAUCUUGAUGACUGUAGCUUUAUAAUAUUGUCCGAAGUCUGGGAGAGUUAUGCCUCCUGUUUGGUUUUUGUCUCUCAGAAUUGCUUUGGCAAUUCUGGGUCUUUUGUGGUUGCAUGUAAAAUUUUGGAUCGUUUGUUCUGGUUCUGUGAAAAAUGUCAUGGGUAAUUUGAUAAGGAUUGCAUUGAAUCUGUACAUUGCUUUGGGUAGUAUGGCUAUUUUUAUGAUAUUAAUUCAUCCAAUACAGGAGCAUGAAAUAGCUUUCUAGUUCUUUGAAUCCUCUUUAAUUUCCUUGAUUAAUGUUUUAUAGUUCUCAGCAUAAAAGUCUUUCACCUCUUUGGUCAGGUUUAUUCCUAGGUAUUUAAUUUUGGGGGGCGCAAUUAUAAAAGCUGGGCUGUGGGAUGGAAAUCCUGUGAAAUCAGAUUGUUAUGAUAAUUAUACAACUACAGAUGUGAUAAAUUCAUUGGAGUAAUUAAAAAAAUAAAAAGUUACUGUAUUUUUAUAUCCUUUUCUAAUAUUUCAUUGUUAGUAAACAAAAAUGCAACCAACUUCUGGAUGUUAAUCUCAUUUCUGCUACUUACGCUGAAUUUGUAGAUCAGUUCGAAUAGUUUGUUGUGUGGAGUCCUUAGGGUUUUCUGUAUAUAGUAUCAUGGCAUCUGCAUAGAGUGGCAGUGUUACCUCAUCUCUUCCAAUUUGGGUAUCUUUUAUUUCUUUCGUUUGUCUGAUUGCUGUGGCUAGGACUUCCAAUACUAUGUUGAAUAAAAGUGGUGAGAGUGGGCAUGCUGUUUCAUCUUAAUAGUGCCUUCAGCUGGAACCUAAGCAUUUUUAAAAAAAACUUUAUUGAAAUAUAGUCGAUUAUACAAUGUUAAUUUUUGCUGCAUCAAAGUGACUCAGUUGUAUAUGAAUAAUUUUUCAUACCCUUUUCCAUUAGGUUUUAUCAACAGGAGAGGUUCAAUAUAGUUUCCUGGGCUAUGUAGUAGGACCUUGUUUAUCUGUUCUAUAUAUACCCGUUUGCAUCUGCUAACCUCAAACUCCCACUCCAUCCCUGCACUACCCCCUUCUCCUUUGGCAACCUCAAAUCUCUUCUCUCUGUGAGUCUAUUUCAUAGAUAAGUUCAUUUUAGAUUCCACAUAUCAGUGAUAUCAUAAGAUAUUUUGCUUUUUGACUUACUUCACUUACUAUGAUAAUCUCUAGGUUCCUCCAUGUUGCUGCAAAUGGUAUUAUUUCAUUCUUUUUUUUACAGCCAAUAUUCCAUUGUAUAUAUGCAGCAUAUUUCCUUUAUUCAUUCAUCUGUGGAUGGACACUUAGGUUGUUUCCAUGUCUUACCUAUUGUGAAUAGUGCUUCUAUGAACAUAGGGGUACAUACGUCUUUCCUAAUAACAGUUUUAUCUGGGUGUAAGUCCAGGAGUGGGAUGGCUGGAUCAUACAGCAACCCUAUUUUUAGUUUUUUGAGGACACCCUUUGCCACAGUGGCUGUAGCAGUUACAUUCCCACCAAUAGUGUGAGAGGGUGGAACCCAAAAUUUGACUCUUGUAUUGAGAUAUAAGUUGCAGAUGAGGAGUCCCUGAGCUUUGAAGUCUCCUAUCACUAGUCAGUAUCACUACUAGCUGUAUGACCUUGGGCAGUGUGUUCAUCUCUGAACCAGUUUUCUCCUCCACACAAGGCAGUUGUGCAACACGGUGUCUAGAGUCAUUGUGUUACCACAACACGUGACUCUGAUUUCAACCUAUUUGUGAAUGAACUUCUCCUUUUCACAAAGCACAUGGCUGCCUUUUUACCUCAUUAAGAUUCUCUGCAUUUCUAAUGGAAAAUGAUGUUGGCACAAUAAUUCCAAAUAUGAACAAACGCUAAAAGAUAAAAUACACAUUUUCCAAACAUGAAAGAACUCAGAGAAUUUAUCUCCCUAGUUCCUAGUUUUAAUAAGCCAUUAGUGGCUAUCCUUGAGCAAGUCAGGGAACUAAGACAUAUGUGGGAGCCAAGAAGCGAUAAGACAAAUGCAGACGCCCCAAAGAGGGACAUCCUGAGGGGAUAACUGGUCAGCAUCCUUAGGAAACAAUUCAUCAAAAUUAGGACAGGAAGCCAGUGGACUCCAAGAAGGAUGCCUUCAGGAGAAAGAAUGGAACGGAUUCAAAGAACGAUGAGAGAGCCAGAUAAUACUAGUGACCUAUCUUAAAAAAAUCACAUGUUUAUGUGGGUGUGUUACCGUUCCGUAAGAACACAGAAAAAUAACCAACACCAAGAGAAAGAAAUUCAUAAAAACUAAAUGGAAGAGUCCCAGAUAUGAGGCAG